AGACAAAUGCGAAACGUCAAGUUUUGCGACGAGGUUGAGACAAGCGGCCUACAUUAUUUCCUUUACACUGUCAAGGCAGUGAGUUGUUAUCUUGAAAGUUUGUUAAAAGUAUCAAGUAAAGAAAAAAGUAAAUAGUAAUCAGUAAUCACUGAACUAAAUCGACGCUUGAGGAAGAAUCCUUAAGAAAACGGUAAAUU
rnacentral:misc_RNA from 1 species